rnacentral:rRNA from 1 species
UACGGGGGGGGCAAGCGUUGUUCGGAAUUACUGGGCGUAAAGGGCUCGUAGGCGGCCAACUAAGUCAUACGUGAAAUCCCUCGGCUUAACCGGGGAACUGCGUCUGAUACUGGAUGGCUUGAGUUCGGGAGAGGGAUGCGGAAUUCCAGGUGUAGCGGUGAAAUGCGUAGAUAUCGGAAGGAACACCAGUGGCGAAGGCGACUUUCUGGACAGAUACUGACACUGAGGCACGAAAGCGUGGGGAGCAAACAGG